ACAAAUCCAAUACUUGUGGGCGCAAGCCUGCGAAUAUUAGUCCGCUGGCCGCGUGCGUGGCUGGCAGAUAAAUAAAUAAAUCAUGUUGUGUAGACAGUGUGUGUGAUAAUAUUUAAUUAUUGA
rnacentral:misc_RNA from 1 species